AGACAGGCUUCAUUCGAGGCCACAUUCAUUGUCUAAGAGGACAUCU
rfam:Ailuropoda melanoleuca scaffold446_17, whole genome shotgun sequence.